CCUACGGGUGGCAGCAGUGGGGAAUAUUGGACAAUGGGGGGAACCCUGAUCCAGCCAUGCCGCGUGUGUGAAGAAGGCCCUCGGGUUGUAAAGCACUUUCAGUGAGGAAGAACGCCUGGUGGUUAAUACCCAUCAGGAAAGACAUCACUCACAGAAGAAGCACCGGCUAACUCCGUGCCAGCAGCCGCGGUAAUACGGAGGGUGCGAGCGUUAAUCGGAAUUACUGGGCGUAAAGCGCGCGUAGGUGGCUUGAUAAGCCGGUUGUGAAAGCCCCGGGCUCAACCUGGGAACGGCAUCCGGAACUGUCAAGCUAGGGUGCAGGAGAGGAAGGUAGAAUUCCCGGUGUAGCGGUGAAAUGCGUAGAGAUCGGGAGGAAUACCAGUGGCGAAGGCGGCCUUCUGGACUGACACUGACCCUGAGGUGCGAAAGCGUGGGUAGCAAACAGGAUUAGAUACCCCUGUAGUC
rnacentral:rRNA from 1 species